GGGCCCGCACAAGCGGCGGAGCAUGCGGAUUAAUUCGAUGCAACGCGAAGAACCUUACCAAGGCUUGACAUAUAGAGGAAAAGUGCAGAAAUGCACUCCCCGCAAGGUCUCUAUACAGGUGGUGCAUGGUUGUCGUCAGCUCGUGUCGUGAGAUGUUGGGUUAAGUCCCGCAACGAGCGCAACCCUCGUCCUAUGUUGCCAGCACGUAAUGGUGGGAACUCAUGGGAUACUGCCGGGGUCAACUCGGAGGAAGGUGGGGAUGACGUCAAAUCAUCAUGCCCCUUAUGUCUUGGGCUUCACGCAUGCUACAAUGGCCGGUACAGAGGGCAGCAAUACCGUAAGGUGGAGCGAAUCCCACAAAGCCGGUCUCAGUUCGGAUUGAGGUCUGCAACUCGACCUCAUGAAGCUGGAAUCGCUAG
rnacentral:rRNA from 1 species